rnacentral:rRNA from 1 species
GAUGAACGCUGGCGGCGUGCCUAAUACAUGCAAGUCGAGCGAACAGACGAGGAGCUUGCUCCUCUGACGUUAGCGGCGGACGGGUGAGUAACACGUGGAUAACCUACCUAUAAGACUGGGAUAACUUCGGGAAACCGGAGCUAAUACCGGAUAAUAUAUUGAACCGCAUGGUUCAAUAGUGAAAGACGGUCUUGCUGUCACUUAUAGAUGGAUCCGCGCCGCAUUAGCUAGUUGGUAAGGUAACGGCUUACCAAGGCGACGAUGCGUAGCCGACCUGAGAGGGUGAUCGGCCACACUAGAACUGAGACACGGUCCAGACUCCUACGGGAGGCAGCAGUAGGGAAUCUUCCGCAAUGGGCGAAAGCCUGACGGGGCAACGCCGCGUGAGUGAUGAAGGUCUUCGGAUCGUAAAACUCUGUUAUUAGGGAAGAACAAAUGUGUAAGUAACUAUGCACGUCUUGACGGUACCUAAUCAGAAAGCCACGGCUAACUACGUG